rnacentral:snRNA from 1 species
GUGCUCGCUUUGGCAGCACAUAUACUAAACUUGGGACAAUAUAGAGAGGUUUAGCAUAGCCCCUGCACAAGGAUGACACGCAAAUUCAUGAAGUGGCCCAUAUUAAA